GGAAUAUAAGAACUCGUCUCUUAACUUUUAACUAAAAAAAUUGAGAACCGGUUCUUAAAUAAGAGUUUUAAGAGUCGGUUCUUAACUUUUUUAGUUAAAAGUUAAGAGACGGGUUCUUAUAUUCC
rfam:Brassica oleracea var. oleracea cultivar TO1000 chromosome C1, whole genome shotgun sequence